UAGAUACCCUAGUAUGAAAAAUAAUGAAAUUAGUAAGGGAUGAAAUUUAAUAAUUUUGGCGGUUAAUUUUUAAUUAGAGGAGCUUGUUUUGUUUAGAAAAGGCUCUUUAAAUUUUGUAAUAUAAAGUUUAUUCAUCUCCGUUAUAAGAUCAUAAUUGACAAAAGUAAUAAUAAGUAUAAUUUCAGGUCAAGAUGUAGCAUGUAUUUAUAAAAAUUAGCUACAAUAUAAUAUAUAUAUAUGGAUUUUAAUUGGUAGAAAUUAUUUAAAAUUGAAUUUAAUUGUAAUAUUAAUUAGAAUAUUAGUAUGAAUGAUAUAAAUUAAUGUACAUAUUGCCCGUCACUUCUUUUGGUUGAAUAA
rnacentral:rRNA from 1 species